UACGUAGGGGGCAAGCGUUGUCCGGAAUCAUUGGGCGUAAAGCGCGUGUAGGCGGCUCGGUAAGUCUGCUGUGAAAGUCCAGGGCUCAACCCUGGGAUGCCAGUGGAUACUGUCGAGCUCGAGUCCGGAAGAGGCGAGUGGAAUUCCUGGUGUAGCGGUGAAAUGCGCAGAUAUCAGGAGGAACACCAAUGGCGAAGGCAGCUCGCUGGGACGUGACUGACGCUGAGACGCGAAAGCGGGUGGGAGCAAACAGG
rnacentral:rRNA from 1 species